AUUAUGAGGAAACUCAAUUCUUUUUAUGUCAAAUGUGUUAUUUGAUUUGUAAUAUAUUGCAAAUUUUGAUUGUCUUAUGCUAUUUAUGAGAGUUUUAGUGUUUAUAGUUGUUGCUCAUUUUGACUAUCAAUUAAGUAAAAAAAUUUUGAGUACUAUAGAACUAGUAGAAUAUUUUUAUUAUAGUUGUAACUAUUUUUUAUUAAUUAAUAUAAAUAUAUUCGAUUAUUACCAAUUAUUCAUAAUUUUUCUAAAUAAUAAUUAAUUAAUGUUAAUAUAAUGAAUAUUUUUACCAAUAAUUCAAAAUACUAUUAUACGUGAUUGUUUAGUAAUAUUUGGUUAUUAUUAACUAUAAUUAUAAUAAUUAAUGUAAUAAUUAAUAAAAAAUUAAUAAUAUUUUAAUUUAAUUAAUAUCAAAAUUUAUAAUUAAUAAAUAAUUUUAUUUAAUACAAAAAAUAAUAACUAAAUUAAUACAAGAAUUAAUUAUACAAUAUGCACCACCAUUUAAUAAUUGCCCUUUUAAAAUUUUCAUUUAGCAACAUUUGUUAAUUGUUGCUAAUUCUUCAGCAUCAGCAACACUUUCUCCAUAUGUUGAUAAAAGAUUCAACAACACGGGCAUAGGCAACCCUAAAAGUUAAGUGUUGCUAAGAGAUUUAGUCACAUUUCUUACUCAUUUGGCAACAUCUAUAAAUGUUACUAAAUCUAUACAUUCUUGUAAUUAGAGAGAGAGAGUUGAGCUGGAAUGCUAUCAGUAGCAAACGGGCUCCGUUGCCACCCAUUUGUUUUCGAUGAUGGAGCCUUCAAAUCGACGAUCGAUAUCGUUGAAUAUGAUCUAUAUCACUUGAAGUAUCUAGAAAUCAAAUUUCAAAUCUUUUCGACAUCAUUGACCUAAUAAUCAAACGGUUUCAAAAUUUGUAAUUUUAAUGAUCGAUAUAAGGCAUUUUCUCGUUUAACUGUGUAAAGUUAUCCAAAUCAAUUGAAUUUUUGUUAAAAAAUUCUUUAAACUAUUUAGAACAAGAUCCAUACUCUCGAUCUUGAUUACAAAAUUUCUCUUAUUACUUUUUAGAGGAUAUUCAUUUUCAGUCGUUCAUUUUUACGCCCACUUGAUGAAUAAGAAAACAAUAUCGGAAAAGCAUUAAAUUUGAUUUCUAGAUACUUCAAGUGGUAAAGAUCAUUUUCAAAGGUAUCGAUCGUCGAUUUGGAGGCUCCAUCAUCAAAAACAAAUAAGUGGCAACGGAGUCAGUUUACUACUGAUAGUAUUCCAGCUCAUCUCUCUCUCUCUCUCUCUCUCUCUAUAUAUAUAUAUAUAUAUAAUGUAAAAUAAAUUCGAAUUCGAAUCAGGUUCGGAUUCGGGUCGGAUACAUUCAAAAUUCAUAUCUGAAUCCAUAUCUGUCAGAUUUUUGUUUUUCAUAUCUAUAUCUAAAAUCAUAUUCGUUUAGUAUCGAAUAAAUUCACUCAAUUUGAAUUUGAAUUCGAAUUCGAAUAAAAUCUCAGGUAUCCGUACACACUGACAUC
rnacentral:lncRNA from 1 species